GCGCUCGUAGCUUAAUGGUAAAGCUCCGCUCUGUGGCGGCGGCUACGCGGGUUCGAUUCCCGUCGAGCGCCCA
rnacentral:tRNA from 1 species